rnacentral:lncRNA from 1 species
GCAGGCGCGUGAACUGUUCACACCACCAAAAAUGUAUCUUUAGCCAAAUCUGAAUUAAUCUGUUCAGAAUGAACAAGCAGAAUAGUCUUUGGAUUUGAUCCAAAUCCCUGAAGCACUUUGGGAAUGAGAAUGGCUAUGCCAGACAGAGAGACCCUGGCGACUUAUGAUACUGCAGAACACAACAGGCACUUCAGAUUGGUCCCAGAGUUGGUUCAGUUAUAUUCAACAAAUUCUUUUAAACCCUCAUUUAGUCCUCUACGUACUGAUAUAUAUAUAGAUGCCUAAACCAAAUGGACCUCAUUUCCUUUAAAAUUCUGAUAUCCAAAAUAAGCAGCACCAGUAUUGAAUUUAUUUGCAGUUAAGUUGAGGGAGAGCAGUGAUAUUGAGCAGUCAGCUAAAGAAACAAAGCUGUAGAGAAUUGUGACUCCAAAGGCAAAGAAGGAAGUGCUCCUAAUUUGAACUAAUCUAAUAGUCACAUGGAGGAUUCUGACUGGCCCAUGUGGGGCCUUGUGCUCAUGUUCUAAGGAAUCAUUGUUGCUUGAAGCAUGGACAACUCUGGCCUGACAUGGUCCCUGGCUCGUACCUGUGACAGGACACUGAGGCAAAAGAAAGCAGUAUAGAGAUUUAUUCUCCCACUGGCAUGAAAGCUGUGAUUCUGACCACCUUCUACAUCACUGUCUACCACCCCUACACCAGCUCUUAGAAGACAGAGUAACUACAGGAUGCUGUGGUACCUGGAGUGAUGCCAGACUGCAGAGGCCACCUGGUGACAUGAGGAGAGAUUCAACUUAACAUGGUGAGGAUGGCAGAGUAGAGCUAAAGUGGAAAAAGCAUUUCCCUGAUGAAUUUAAGAAGCUACUGAAUAAAUAUGUCUGGAAGUACCUA